AUUGAACGCUGGCGGCAGGCCUAACACAUGCAAGUCGAACGGUAACAGGAAGAAGCUUGCUUCUUUGCUGACGAGUGGCGGACGGGUGAGUAAUGUCUGGGAAACUGCCUGAUGGAGGGGGAUAACUACUGGAAACGGUAGCUAAUACCGCAUAACGUCGCAAGACCAAAGAGGGGGACCUUCGGGCCUUUUGCCAUCGGAUGUGCCCAGAUGGGAUUAGCUAGUAGGUGGGGUAACGGCUCACCUAGGCGACGAUCCCUAGCUGGUCUGAGAGGAUGACCAGCCACACUGGAACUGAGACACGGUCCAGACUCCUACGGGGGGCAGCAGUGGGGAAUAUUGCACAAUGGGCGCAAGCCUGAUGCAGCCAUGCCGCGUGUAUGAAGAAGGCCUUCGGGUUGUAAAGUACUUUCAGCGGGGAGGAAGGGAGUAAAGUUAAUACCUUUGCUCAUUGACGUUACCCGCAGAAGAAGCACCGGCUAACUCCGUG
rnacentral:rRNA from 1 species